AAAAGUGGAAGAUCAAAGGGAACUGCAGAGGUUGUCUUUUCGACAAAAGCAGAAGCUUUAGCUGCUCUUAAGAAAUACAACAACGUGCAACUUGAUGGCAAACCUAUGAAAAUUGAGUGGACCUGGGAGGGGUGCUGGCGGCCGAGGAUGGUCUC